UUGAUCUUUGAUCCUCCUUCAGG
rnacentral:miRNA from 1 species